rnacentral:misc_RNA from 1 species
GAAACGCGAUAGUUAAUGUGAAUUGCAGAAUUCAGUGAAUCAUCGAGUCUUUGAACGCACAUUGCGCCCAUAGGUAUUCCUUUGGGCAUGUCUGUUUGAGCGUCAUUACAACCCUCAGCUAACCGCUUGUUUUGAACCUGAACGGGUGACACCGCGCCGGUUUUAAAGUUGUAAGCUCUGCUGGCCGCUCUGCCCAACCAGAACAUAGUAAGCACUACUUGUCCGGGUGAAGCUGAACGGUACGGCCUGAACAAAACCUACCCACUCUCAAGGUUUGACCUCAGAUCAGACAAGGAUACCCGCUGAACUUAAGC